GUUGCUUUGUUUUUAAGGAUGCCUCAGCUGAAAUCUGUGUUCCUCACUUUUCAGAACCUCUUGCAAAGGGGCGAAGUGGCGCCUCAAGAGCUGAGGACUAGUCUUUCAGUUGCAAGGAAAGGCAUUGCUAGAAAAUGGAAAUCUACUGCUAUACCUCUUUUGAAGACUUCUUGCCUUUCUUAAAGGAAACCGCUCAUAAAGAAACCAAAGUUAAAGAACACAGGAUUUAUCCUAAACCAUUUAUCAUCAAUCCUUGGAAGAAAGUGUUAUUUCUUGUUGACAUCUGUCAGCUAAAUUUUGUCUCAGUUGAAAAAGAUGCAGUCUUGGAAUGCUGUGGCUAUAAUUUGGAAUA